rnacentral:rRNA from 1 species
CAGAGACUGCGAGCGUUAUUCGGAUUCACUGGGCGUAAAGGGUGCGCAGGCGGCCAAGUGUGUUAGGCGUGAAAGCCUGGGGCUUAACCUCAGAAUUGCACCUAAAACUACAUGGCUAGAGCAUUGGAGAGGGUAGCGGAAUUCGCGGUGUAGCAGUGAAAUGCGUAGAUAUCGUGAGGAACACCAGAGGCGAAGGCGGCUACCUGGACAAUUGCUGACGCUCAGGCACGAAAGCGUGGGGAGCAAAAGGGAUUAGAUACCCCUGUAGUCCACGCCCUAAACGGUGCACACUAGGUCUUGGCGGAUUCGACCCCACCAGGGCCCAAGCUAACGCGUUAAGUGUGCCGCCUGAGGACUACGGUCGCAAGACUA